rnacentral:rRNA from 1 species
GACGGGGGAUGCAAGCGUUAUCCGGAAUCACUGGGCGUAAAGCGUCUGUAGGUGGUGAUGCAAGUCACUGGUGCAAAACUCUGGCUCAACCGGAGGAAAGCCAGUGAAACUGCAUGACUAGAGUGUGGGAGAGGUAGAAGGAAUUCCCUGAGUAGCGGUGAAAUGCGUAGAUACAGGGAAGAACACCGGAGGCGAAAGCGUUCUAUGGGAACACAAAUGACAAUGAGAGACGAAAGCUAGGGGAGCGAAUGGG